rnacentral:rRNA from 1 species
AUUGAACGCUGGCGGCAUGCCUCACACAUGCAAGUCGAACGGCAGCACGGGAGCAAUCCUGGUGGCGAGUGGCGAACGGGUGAGUAAAGUAUCGGAACGUGCCCAGUCGUGGGGGAUAACGUAGCGAAAGUUACGCUAAUACCGCAUACGAUCUAUGGAUGAAAGCGGGGGAUCGCAAGACCUCGCGCGAUUGGAGCGGCCGAUAUCAGAUUAGGUAGUUGGUGGAGUAAAGGCUCACCAAGCCGACGAUCUGUAGCUGGUCUGAGAGGACGACCAGCCACACUGGGACUGAGACACGGCCCAGACUCCUACGGGAGGCAGCAGUGGGGAAUUUUGGACAAUGGGCGAAAGCCUGAUCCAGCCAUGCCGCGUGCAGGAUGAAGGCCUUCGGGUUGUAAACUGCUUUUGUACGGAACGAAAAGGUUUGGCCUAAUAAGCUGAGCUCAUGACGGUACCGUAAGAAUAAGCACCGGCUAACUACGUGCCAGCAGCCGCAGUAA